GUACUGAGACACGGACCAGACUCCUACGGGAGGCAGCAGUGAGGAAUAUUGGGCAAUGGAGGCAACUCUGACCCAGCCAUGCCGCGUGCAGGAAGAAGGCCCUAUGGGUUGUAAACUGCUUUUAUACAGGAAGAAACAGCUCUACGUGUAGAGCCUUGACGGUACUGUAAGAAUAAGCACCGGCUAACUCCGUGCCAGCAGCCGCGGUAAUACGGAGGGUCCGAGCGUUAUCCGGAAUCAUUGGGUUUAAAGGGUCCG
rnacentral:rRNA from 1 species